UCGUACCUUUUGCAUCAUGAUUUAGCCAGUACUUUUAAGCAAAGAGUCCUUUAGUUUAAACCCCCGAAACCAAGUGAGCUACCCCGAGACAGCCUAAUGGGCCAACCCGUCUCUGUGGCAAAAGAGUGGGAAGAGCUCUGGGUAGAGGUGACAGAUCUACCGAACUUGGUGAUAGCUGGUUGCCUGAGAAAUGAAUAAAAGUUCAGCCUCGUUUUCCUUUAAUUAAACAAAUUAAAUUAAAUAAAAAAAAGAGAAAAAUACGAGAGUUAGUUAAAAGGGGUACAGCCCCUUUAACCAAGGAUACAACCUUGCCAGGAGGAUAAGGAUCAUAUUUUACAAAACUAGUCGUUUUAGUGGGCCUAAAAGCAGCCAUCUAAGCAGAAAGCGUUAAAGCUCAAACGACCAAACAUUAAUUAUACUGAUAAACAAUCCUAUUCCCCUAAAACUACUAGGCCGUCCCAUGCUAACAUGGGAGAGACCAUGCUAAAAUGAGUAACAAGAAGACACACUCUCUCCAAGCACAAGUGUAAACCAGAUCGGACAAACCACUGGCAAUUAACGAACCCAAAAAAAGAGGGUAAUGUGAAUAACAAAAAAUACAAGAAAAAUCCACAAAAUAAAAUCGUUAAACCCACACUGGAGUGCUAUACGGAAAGACUAAAAGAAAAGGAAGGAACUCGGCAAACACAAGCCUCGCCUGUUUACCAAAAACAUCGCCUCCUGCAAAUCCCCAAGUAUAGGAGGUCCAGCCUGCCCAGUGACUAUGGGUUCAACGGCCGCGGUAUUUUGACCGUGCAAAGGUAGCGAAAUCACUUGUCUUUUAAAUAAAGACCUGUAUGAAAGGUUAAACGAGGGCUUAGCUGUCUCCCUUUUUAAGUCAGUGAAAUUGAUCUGCCCGUGCAGAAGCGGGCAUAUACAUACAAGACGAGAAGACCCUUUGGAGCUUAAGGUACAAACCCAUACGUUAAACAACUUAAAAGCAUGAACUUAAUGGAAAUGAAGUUUUACCUUCGGUUGGGGCGACCACGGAGAAUAAUUAAUCCUCCAAGCGGACUGGGACUAAACCUAAAACCAAGAAAGACAUUUCUAAGUCACAGAAAAUCUGACCAAUAAUGAUCCGGUUGUUAAAACCGAUCAACGAACCAAGUUACCCUAGGGAUAACAGCGCAAUCCCCUCUAAGAGUCCAAUCGACGAGGGGGUUUACGACCUCGAUGUUGGAUCAGGA
rnacentral:rRNA from 2 species